AGGUAGUUGGUGAGGUAACGGCCCACCAAGCCGACGAUCCAUAGCCGACCUGAGAGGGUGACCGGCCACAUUGGGACUGAGACACGGCCCAAACUCCUACGGGAGGCAGCAGUGGGGAAUAUUGCACAAUGGGGGAAACCCUGAUGCAGCGACGCCGCGUGAGCGAAGAAGUAUUUCGGUAUGUAAAGCUCUAUCAGCAGGGAAGAAAAUGACGGUACCUGACUAAGAAGCCCCGGCUAACUACGUGCCAGCAGCCGCGGUAAUACGUAGGGGGCAAGCGUUAUCCGGAUUUACUGGGUGUAAAGGGAGCGUAGACGGCUUUGCAAGUCUGAUGUGAAAGGCGGGGGCUCAACCCCUGGACUGCAUUGGAAACUGUGAGGCUUGAGUGCCGGAGAGGUAAGCGGAAUUCCUAGUGUAGCGGUGAAAUGCGUAGAUAUUAGGAGGAACACCAGUGGCGAAGGCGGCUUACUGGACGGUAACUGACGUUGAGGCUCGAAAGCGUGGGGAGCAAACAGGAUUAGAUACCCUGGUAGUCCACGCGGUAAACGAUGAAUACUAGGUGUUGGGUGUCACAGACAUUCGGUGCCGCAGCAAACGCAAUAAGUAUUCCACCUGGGGAGUACGUUCGCAAGAAUGAAACUCAAAGGAAUUGACGGGGACCCGCACAAGCGGUGGAGCAUGUGGUUUAAUUCGAAUCAACGCGAAGAACCUUACCAAGUCUUGACAUCUCCCUGACAGAGUAUGUAAUGUACUUUUCCUUCGGGACAGGGAAGACAGGUGGUGCAUGGUUGUCGUCAGCUCUCUCGUGAGAUGUUGGGUUAAGUCCCGCAACGAGCGCAACCCUUAUCCUCAGUAGCCAGCGGUUCGGCCGGGCACUCUGUGGAGACUGCCAGGGAUAACCUGGAGGAAGGUGGGGAUGACGUCAAAUCAUCAUGCCCCUUAUGACUUGGGCUACACACGUGCUACAAUGGCGUAAACAAAGGGAAGCAAGAGAGCGAUCUGGAGCAAAUCCCAAAAAUAACGUCCCAGUUCGGAUUGUAGUCUGCAACUCGACUACAUGAAGCUGGAAUCGCUAGUAAUCGCGAAUCAGAAUGUCGCGGUGAAUACGUUCCCGGGUCUUGUACACACCGCCCGUCACACCAUGGGAGUCGGUAACGCCCGAAGUCAGUGACCCAACCGAAAGGAGGGAGCUGCCGAAGGCGGGACUGGUAACUGGGGUGAAGUCGUAACAAGGUAGCCGUAUCGGAAGGUGCGGCUG
rnacentral:rRNA from 1 species